CAUCUCUAAGUAGCAGUGUUGUCCAGUCUCCUCUUGACCUGGUUAAGCAACUAGGAGAAUCUGCUCAGUUCAACUGUUCGCACAGCAUACAGAACUACGAUCGAAUGUUCUGGUAUACAAUGUCUAAAUCAGGGGACACUCUGCAAUGCCUUGGCAACCUUUUCUAUACAGAUCCAACUCUGGAGCCUGGCAUCGACAGCAGACAAAACAUCCCAGAAAGCACUUUAGAAAGAUGAAAACACUGCUCGUCAGUUUCUUUCUCCUUUGCCUCACAGUUUCUUGUGCCAGCAUAUUAAUUUCACAGACACCCUCACUCAUCAAGAAACCUGGAAAAAGUGCAAAAUUUGACUGCAGCCACGACCAAAGCAGCUACUUAUACCUCUAUUGGUACCAAAAAGUAUCAGAAGACAAAGCAAUGCAGCUCAUUGGGUACCUCUACAACACCCAGGAUAACCCAGAGAAGGAGUUCAGUGAGCACUUUAAACUCAGCGGAGAUGCAAAAAGCCAGGGGCACUUGCAGAUCUCCAACUUAAAGGCAGCAGACACUGGGGUGUAUUUCUGCGCUGUGAGCCAACACAGUGCUGCAGAUCCCCUGUCUCCUCAACAAAAACCACCCUUUCUCCUCCAUCACUUUUUGCUGUGGAGCUACUGCUCCUCAAGCAUGUGCCAAAUUUACCGCUAAUUCGGUGUACUCUACCAUCUAAGUGACAUGACUGGUUUGCAUUCAAGUUUUGUGUCAUUGGUAAACAAACAAAUCUAG